UACUGAAUGGCAAAGAAACGCUCCCUGAGAACUGCUGUAAGAAGAGCUUCCAUUCCCUUAUCCUCGUUGAUGCCAGGUCUGGAGAGAACAGAUUCCUGUUUUCACUCACAGCAGGUGUCCCCAGUGGAAUCAAAUGAACUUGCCGCCAUUACUCACUCGGACACUUCAUAAAUGGAACAAUUAAAACCCAAAUAGCAUACAGCAUGCUUCUAUUUUGUUCACAAACUUUAGAAAACCCUGCUUGAAAACUUACAGUUCUGUUAAUAUAUCUGGAGAAUACAUAAGACUGAACGUCAUGUGGCUGCUCAAACAACGAUUUUAUUUGCCUUUGUUGUGUUUGUUUGUUUUGUGAGACAGAGUCUCACUCUGUCGGCCAGGCUGGAGCACAGCGGUGGGAUCUCGGCUCACUGCAACCUCCGCCUCCUGGCGGGAAUCAAGUGAUUCCCCUGCCUCAGGCUCACGGGUAGCUGGAACUACAGGCACCUGCCACCACACCCAGCUAAUUUUUGUAUUUUUAAUAGAGACAGCGUUUCUCCAUGUUGGCCAGGACGGUCUUGAACUCCUGACCUCAGGUGAUCCACCCACCUCAGCCUCCCAAAGUGCUGGGAUUACAGCCCUGAGCCACCGUGCCUGGCCUGUCUUCAUUGCCUUUGAAAAGCCCCAGAUCCAGCCUUCUAGCACAAGAAGGGUCUUUAUGGAUGUAAUCAAGAGAAGAUGGAUGAGGUCAUACUGGAGUCGGGCGGGCUCCAAAUCCAACAACUGGUCUCCUCG
rnacentral:lncRNA from 10 species